rnacentral:lncRNA from 1 species
UGGCAUGAGUUGAUUGGUGGGACAUUUUUCGGUGGAAUAGCCCCAAAAUUGAUAUGAUUUAUAUUCGUGGCAUCCUUUUUUUUGUUGGACUAGAAAUGAAAUUACUAUGGCAAUAAACCGUUCAUAGAAUUUAAAAACAAAUAGUUUUGGCCACGAUUAAAUCGUAGAAAAUAGUAGCUAAAUUUCACACAAAUUGGUUCCUUUCGUUGCAAAUUGCCACAAUAGUUUUGUCGCAAAAUCUUGGCUAUACUUUGCCCCGUCUGUGUUCGUAGAAAAUUUGUGCCAUUUUGCCACAAAUUUCACAUGGAUUGCCACACGUUGACUGUGAUUAUAACUAGUAAGAUAGAUGCGGUGGAGGGGUUUGUUUUGUAACAGAACUGUCCAAGGGCUCUUCUUUCCUUAUGGUUUGCUUCGUGGACGGCGAGCGGAGGAUGUGAGGCUGACCUUCCAGUGGCGGAGGAGGUGAGUCGGUUACGGGGUGUACCCUAGGCCUAUCCAAAAGCAUAUUCUAAACCGACGAUCUCGUUCUGUUACCGUAGAACUAUUCUUAACUCAUGCUUUUCUCCCUUUUUUUCUAGAUUACGAUCUUGGCAGCUCCGAUGCCAUUCUUCUCACCCAUUUGUUUACAGAUUUGGGGUUUCCUCUUUCGGUGGAAGCAGCUCGCUUUGUUUUGGGUUCGAGGUAUGCGUUUCUCCGGUGAGCAAUUGGUAGCAGUGGAUGUGGUGCCCGUCACGACGGAAAGAUUCUUGCUCGCUGUUGUAUGCUUAAUAAAAAUGAAAAAUUUAAUUCGAAAACCAUUUAAAAAAUAACGAAUUAGAUGCUAACUCGUUUUCAGUUGUUCUGUCUGAGUUGGAAAGAUUCUUUUAAAGUGAGACUUGACGGUGUUUUUUUUUUGUUUCUUUUAAUCUUUAAACCGAUUUAGAAUGCACCGUCUAUCGCAGAAACAAUGACGAUUUUGUAGGAUCCUAAUUUGGAUACAAAAGAAAUAAUAUACCAAAAAGACGAGGAUUAUGCCUACAACUUUAUAAAAGUCAGACCCCACGCGCUAAGUGCUUUCUUGUUU